rnacentral:tRNA from 1 species
GCACCCGUAGCUCAACUGGAUAGAGCGUUGGCCUCCGAAGCCAAAGGUUUCGGGUUCAAAUCCCGACGGGUGUA